AUACGAACCGGACAAACGUUAUUCGGAAUUAUUGGGCUUAAAGGGUGCGUAGGCGGCGCGGUAAGUGAGGUGUGAAAGCCCACGGCUCAACCGUGGAAUUGCGCUUCAUACUGCCGUGCUAGAGGGAGACAGAGGUAAGCGGAACUGAUGGUGGAGCGGUGAAAUGCGUUGAUAUUAUCAGGAACACCGGUGGCGAAAGCGGCUUACUGGGUCUCUUCUGACGCUGAGGCACGAAAGCUAGGGUAGCGAACGGGAGUAGAUACCCCUGUAGUCC
rnacentral:rRNA from 1 species